rnacentral:rRNA from 1 species
GACGGGGGGGGGCAAGUGUUCUUCGGAAUGACUGGGCGUAAAGGGCACAUAGGCGGUGAAUCGGGUUGAAAGUGAAAGUCGCCAAAAAGUGGCGGAAUGCUCUCGAAACCAAUUCACUUGAGUGAGACAGAGGAGAGUGGAAUUUCGUGUGUAGGGGUGAAAUCCGUAGAUCUACGAAGGAACGCCAAAAAGCGAAGGCAGCUCUCUGGGUCCCUACCGACGCUGGGGUGCGAAAGCAUGGGGAGCGAACAGGG